rnacentral:rRNA from 1 species
UAAAGCAAUUAAGGGCACAUGGUGGAUGCCUUGGCUCUGAGAGGCGAAGAAGGACGUGGUAAGCUGCGAUAAGCUGCGGGGAGAUGCACACAAUCGUUACAUCCGCAGAUUUCCGAAUGGGACAACCCAGCACGCUGAAGGCGUGUUAUGCCGUAGCGAUACGGUAAGCCAACCCCGGGAACUGAAACAUCUAAGUACCGGGAGGAACAGAAAAUAACAAUGAUUCCCCGAGUAGUGGCGAGCGAAAAGGGAAGAGCCCAAACCGGGGUGGCGUGCCGCCCCGGGGUUGUAGGACCGCAUUUAGAAAACGUCGUCAAGUUGAACCCUCUGGAAAGUGGGACCAUAGCAGGUGACAGUCCUGUAGGCGCAAAUCGACGUGGACGAGCGGUAUCCUGAGUAGGGCGGGACCGGAGAAAUCCUGCUUGAAUCCGCCGGCACCAUCCGGCAAGGCUAAAUACUCCUCAGAGACCGAUAGUGAACCAGUACCGUAAGGGAAAGGUGAAAAGCACCCCAAACAGGGGAGUGAAAUAGUACCUGAAACCGUGUGCCUACAAGCGGUCGGAGUCCAGCAAUGGAUGACGGCGUGCCUUUUGCAUAAUGAGCCUACGAGUUGCUCCUCACUGGCAAGGUUAAGUUCUUCAAUAACGGAGCCGCAGCGAAAGCGAGUCCGAACAGGGCGAAUAGUCAGUGGGGGCAGACGCGAAACUUUGUGAUCUAUCCAUGAGCAGGUUGAAGUCCCGGUAACACGGGAUGGAGGACCGAACUCAUUAACGUUGAAAAGUUAUGGGAUGACCUGUGGAUAGGGGUGAAAGGCCAAUCAAACUGAGAGAUAGCUCGUUCUCCCCGAAAUGUUUUUAGGAACAGCCUCGGAUAUAAGAAGUGUGUUAGAGGUAGAGCUACUGAUUGGGCUAGGGGGCUUCACCGCCUACCAAACCCUGACAAACUCCGAAUGCUAGCACAUAUCUCCGGGAGUGAGGCUGCGGGCGCUAAGGUCCGUGGCCGAGAGGGAAAUAACCCAGAUUAGCAACUAAGGUCCCUAAUACGUGGUUAAGUUGAUCAAACGAGGUGGGAUUUCUAUGACAGCCAGGAUGUUGGCUUGGAAGCAGCCAUUCAUUCAAAGAGUGCGUAACAGCUCACUGGUCGAGAGAUCCUGCACGGAAAAUGAUCGGGCAUCAAAUCACGAACCGAAGUUCUAGGAUCGCCGCUUGGCGGAUGAUCGGUAGGGGAGCAUUCUGAUCGCGGCAAAGGUGUGUGGCGACGCAUGCUGGAGCGUUCAGAAAAGAAAAUGUAGGCAUAAGUAACGAUUAAUAAGGUGAAAAACCUUAUCGCCGUAAGUCUAAGGUUUCCUGAUCAACGUUAAUCGGAUCAGGGUUAGUCGGGUCCUUAGGCGAACCCGAAAGGGGUAGCUGAUGGAAAGCUGGUCAAUAUUCCAGCACCCGCUGCAGUUUCGAUGGGGUGACGAGGGAGUGAAAGAACCGCGUGGGAACGGAAUACCACGUUGAAGCACGUAGUUAUAUCCUGUACAGGCAAAUCCGUACGGGAUGACGAAAUGCGAUAGUACCGCAAGGCUUCGGCUGCGCGGAUAGUGUUCCUAAUCAUACCUCCGAGAAAAACCUCUAAGGCCAGGCUGCAGCGGCCCGUACCGCAAACCGACACAGGUAGACGGGAUGAAUAUUCUAAGGCGCUCGGGUGAGCCGUGGAGAAGGAACUAGGCAAAUUGACGCUGUAACUUCGGGAUAAAGCGUACCAUAGCAAUAUGGUCUCAGUGAAAUGGUCCAACCAACUGUUUAGCAAAAACACAGGGCCCUGCAAAAUCGUAAGAUGACGUAUAGAGCCUGAUACCUGCCCGGUGCUGGAAGGUUAAGGAAGGGUGUUCGACGCAAGUCAAAGCUCCUGACUGAAGCCCCAGUAAACGGCGGCCGUAACUAUAACGGUCCUAAGGUAGCGAAAUUCCUUGUCGGGUAAGUUCCGAC